GAUGAACGCUAGCUAUAGGCUUAACACAUGCAAGUCGAGGGGAAACGGCAUUAUGUGCUUGCACAUUUUGGACGUCGACCGGCGCACGGGUGAGUAUCGCGUAUCUAACCUGCCCUUUACUUGGGGAUACCCCGUUGAAAGACGGCCUAAUACCCGAUGUAAUUCAUUGAUGGCAUCAGAUAUGAAUAAAAGAUUUAUCGGUAAAUGAUGGGGAUGCGUCUGAUUAGCUUGUUGGUGAGGUAACGGCUCACCAAGGCGACGAUCAGUAGGGGUUCUGAGAGGAAGGUCCCCCACAUUGGAACUGAGACACGGUCCAAACUCCUACGGGAGGCAGCAGUGAGGAAUAUUGGUCAAUGGGCGCAAGCCUGAACCAGCCAAGUAGCGUGCAGGAAGACGGCCCUAUGGGUUGUAAACUGCUUUUAUACGAGAAUAAUUUGAUGCACGUGUGCGUUAUUGCAUGUAUCGUAUGAAUAAGGACCGGCUAAUUCCGUG
rnacentral:rRNA from 1 species